rnacentral:rRNA from 1 species
UAGGGAAUCUUCCGCAAUAGACGCAAGUCUGACGGAGCAACGCCGCGUGAGUGAAGAAGGAUUUCGGUUCGUAAAACUCUGUUGUUAGAGAAGAACAGCGCAUAGAGUAACUGUUAUGCGUGUGACGGUAUCUAACCAGAAAGCCACGGCUAACUACGUGCCAGCAGCCGCGGUAAUACGUAGGUGGCAAGCGUUGUCCGGAUUUAUUGGGCGUAAAGCGAGCGCAGGCGGUCAAUUAAGUCUGAUGUGAAAGCCCCCGGCUCAACCGGGGAGGGUCAUUGGAAACUGGUUGACUUGAGUGCAGAAGAGGAGAGUGGAAUUCCAUGUGUAGCGGUGAAAUGCGUAGAUAUAUGGAGGAACACCAGUGGCGAAGGCGACUCUCUGGUCUGUAACUGACGCUGAGGCUCGAAAGCGUGGGUAGCAAACAGG